CCUAAAAACUGAGCCUGUACCGAUUUGUUUAAGGCACUUCGACACUUUGACAAUUAUGUCUGUAUCGUCCAGCUGAAUCAUGAACAAAACCAACAUCUGACAAAUAAAUGUUUGCGGAAGUGCACAAUGAAGUACCCCCACUUUGAUCAAACCACUCCCACACAUUAUAACUGAUACAUAUAAACGACAGUGAAACGAGC